GCCGGAGUUCCAAAACUCCACCAAAUUCAAAAAAAAUUUCAGUUUUAAAUAUCCUUUUUCUUGCUAAACCCAAAUCCGGUCUCAGAAUUUCCAAAACAAACUCGUACAAGUCUAGAUCUAGGAACAAAGAUUCAAAAAAAAAAGUGAGCAAAAAAUACCUCUACUCUCUCUCUCCGGUUCGGUUUGGUUGCUCUCUCCCUUGUUCCGGUUCGGUUGCUCCGGUUCGUGCUUGCUUUCCCUCUGGUCCGAUUCGUCUCUGUCUGUUUUGGUUCGGUUCUGAUUUUCUAAACUUUGGUUUUGGAUUGUGUUUGUGGUGCUUGGAUUAUGUGAUGUUUAUGUUGAUUUCUGGAAAAAAUUAGGAGGAUGAAAGCUCAUGCAUAUUCAUGAAUGUUGUUGGAGAGAGAGAAGGAAAUUGUGUUUGUGACUUGAUUGGAAAAAAUGUGUGGUUGCUGAUUUUUCUGUGAACAGUGAUCUCUCUGGCCCAUUUCCCAAUGAUUGACAGGGUUUUUAUAGUGACAAACUAGGGUUGGCUCUGGUACAAACAAAUGACCAAAAUGCCCCUGCAGCUGAGACUUGGAGAAAAAGAUUUGACCAAAAAGAUAAAUAGAUAAAUAAAAAAACAAAAUGAAUAAAAUAAAUAAGAAAAUAAUAAAAAAAUAAAAGAAAAGAAAAGAAAGAAAGAGGUCACGUGAGUGACUUCUUUUUGUUUUUUU
rnacentral:lncRNA from 1 species